rnacentral:rRNA from 1 species
AACGUAGGGUGCAAGCGUUGUCCGGAAUUACUGGGUGUAAAGGGAGCGCAGGCGGAUCUGCAAGUUGGAAGUGAAAACUAUGGGCUCAACCCAUAACGUGCUUUCAAAACUGUGGAUCUUGAGUGGUGCAGAGGUAGGCGGAAUUCCCGGUGUAGCGGUGGAAUGCGUAGAUAUCGGGAGGAACACCAGUGGCGAAGGCGGCCUACUGGGCACUAACUGACGCUGAGGCUCGAAAGCAUGGGUAGCAAACAGGAUUAGAUACCCUGGUAGUCCAUGCCGUAAACGAUGAUUACUAGGUGUGGGAGGAUUGACCCCUUCCGUGCCGCAGUUAACACAAUAAGUAAUCCACCUGGGGAGUACGACCGCAAGGUUGAA